ACAUGCUUACAACAUAGUGUUAAUGCAUUGAAUCCCAUUAGAACUCUACAGUUAAGCAUGCUUGAGCUAGAGUAGUAUUGGGAUGGGUGACCUCUUGGGAAGUCCUAGUAUUUUACAUGCG
rnacentral:rRNA from 1 species